GGGGCCGAUCCGGAUUCGACGUGGGUCGCGAAACAACUCAGGGCAUGCCGAGCACCAGUAAGCUCGUUAAACCACUGGAACACUACAAACGCCAACGACGAGCGUUUCGCUCUCGCCGCUUAAGCGGUGAGCCGCUGCACUGAUCUGUCCUUGGGUCAGGCGGAGGAAGGCAACUUCCUAGGGGGGCAACCCUCGAACCGCAGCAGCGACAUUCACAAGGAAUCGGUCUGCACUGGGGUCACACGGUUCAGGCUUAAAUUACGUGAAUCGCUCUGGUCCGGCCUGUCGGUUGGCUAAGUCCAGGGUUAAAACCAAAUAGAUCGACUACGCAUGUAGAACUGGUUGCGGAGGGCUUGCGGACGGGGGUUCAAUUCCCCCCGGCUCCACCA
rnacentral:tmRNA from 1 species